rnacentral:rRNA from 1 species
GACGAACGCUGGCGGCGUGCUUAACACAUGCAAGUCGAACGGAAAGGCCCUGCUUUUGUGGGGUGCUCGAGUGGCGAACGGGUGAGUAACACGUGAGUAACCUGCCCUUGACUUUGGGAUAACUUCAGGAAACUGGGGCUAAUACCGGAUAGGAGCUUCUGCUGCAUGGUGGGGGUUGGAAAGUUUCGGCGGUUGGGGAUGGACUCGCGGCUUACCAGCUUGUUGGUGGGGUAGGGGCUUACCAAGGCUUUGACGGGUAGCCGGCCUGAGAGGGUGACCGGCCACAUUGGGACUGCGAUACGGCCCAGACUCCUACGGGAGGCAGCAGUGGGGAAUAUUGCACAAUGGGCGGAAGCCUGAUGCAGCAACGCCGCGUGCGGGAUGACGGCCUUCGGGUGGUAAACCGCUUUCGCCUGUGACGAAGCGUGAGUGACGGUAAUGGGUAAAGAAGCACCGGCUAACUACGUG